CACCGCUUCCGACUGACUUCCGGGAGAGGGUGAGCUUGGUACCUGCGCGCCCUAGGUUCUUCGGAUUUCUUCUGGGGCAGGGCGGGUGGUUGUCUUGGUGACCGCUCCUAACGGUCCGGUAACCCCGAGAUACUUGUUGAGGGGUUGCAGCCUGAGCUGCUGACUGAAGACGCCAUUGGUUCUUCCAAGUGUCCAGGUGAAGCUGGUUCUAGCCUUAUAUGCGGAGUUACUGACGCUUGAGAGAAGAUUGAUUCAAAUAAUGUCUCGAAAAAUUGCCAAGGAAUCAAAAAAAGUUAAUAUCUCUAGUUCUCUGGAAUCUGAAGAUAUUAGUUUAGAAACAACCAUUCACACAGAUGAUGUUUCCUCAUCAGAAGAGCGAGAGGGUAAAGUCAAAAUCACCAGGCAGUUAAUCGAAAGAAAAGAGAUACUUCAUAAUAUUCAGUUACUGAAAAUCGAGCUAUCCCAAAAAAAUAUGAUGAUUGACAACUUAAAAAUGGAUUAUCUUACAAAGGUUGAAGAGCUGGAGGAAAAACUUAAUGAUGCCCUUCACCAGAAGCAGCUGCUAACUUUGAGAUUAGACAAUCAAUUGACUAUUCAACAGAAAGACGCCAAAAAAUAUCAAGAACUAAUGAAACAAGAAAUGGAGACCAUUUUGUUGAGACAGAAGCAACUGGAAGAGACAAAUCAUCAGCUAAGAGAAAAGGCUGGCGAUGUCCGUCGGAAUCUUCGAGACUUGGAGCUAACGGAAGAGCAGUAUGAGAAGCUAAAAUCUUUUCCUGAAGAUCAGCUUUCUAUUCCUGAAUUUGUCUCUAUUCGGUUCUAUGAGCUAGUAAACCCAUUAAGAAAGGAAAUCCAUGAACUACAGGUGAAGAAGAAUGAACUAUCUGAAGAGUUAAGUACAAAUAAAGGCCAACUGAAGCAGCUGACGGAGACAUAUGAAGAAGCUCGAAGGAACCACUCUGAACUUCUAACUCGAUGUCAACGUUUGGCCUUAGAAUUAGCAGACACGAAACAGUUAGUUCAGCAAGGAGAUUACCGUCAAGAGAACUAUGACAAAGUGAAGAGUGAACGCGAUGCUCUCGAACAGGAAGUACUCGAGGUUAGAAGGAAACAUGAGGUACUUGAAACCUCUCACAUAGCUCAAGCUAAAGAAAGGAAUGAAUUAUCGAAAGAGGUAAGCACCUUGCAGCAGACAGUCACCCUGCUGCAGAAAGAUAAAGAAUACCUCAAUCGCCAAAACAUGGAGCUCAGUGUACGCUGUGCCCAUGAGGAGGAUCGCCUGGAAAGGUUGCAAGUUCAACUGGAAGAGACCAAAAGGGCUAGAGAAGAGAUGUAUGAGAAAUAUGUCACAUCCAGAGACCAUUAUAAAACAGAAUAUGAAAAUAAACUACAUGAUGAACUGGAACAAAUCAAAUUGAAAACUAAUCUAGAAAUUGAUCAGCUUCGAAGUGCUUCUAGGGAAAUGUAUGAACGAGAAAACAGAAAUCUCCGUGAAGCAAGAGAUAAUGCUCUCGCUGAAAAGAACCGAGCAGUGACAGCGGAAAAAGACGCUCUAGAAAAGCAUGAGCAGCUCCUAGACAGGUAUGUGCAUGAUGGACAUUGAAAGCUGGUUUUAGUCCUGGCAGAACCUGAAGCACCUAACUGGAGACUGGGCAAGUGCUGUGGAUGAAGCGCUUUCCAGUGCGGCUCUUCACGUUCCUCUGUCAACCAGGUGUAAGAAGAGCUGGCCAGGCAUUCGGGCAGAAUGAAUACGUGAGGACUAAGGCUUCUGGGGUGUGAAGGUCUCUGCUCUAAAUUCUUAAAUGUACUGUAGUUUUAAGUACUUUACUUAAUAUCCAUACGUGAAGUCCCCACUCCUUUUUUUCAUCUGUAUGUUAUCUGUGACAAUUGCUUGUGAGAAUGAUACAUUGGUUAAAUUACCACAAAAAAGCAGUGAUUAAUUCACCCUUUUUGACAGUAUUAUUUUAAGGAUCAACACAUUCACUUGUCUUAAGUUAGGAAUAUGGAUUGGAAAAGAUGCUGUCAUCUAUGACCAGGUCACCAAAUGCAAUAGUACAUUAGCAUAUGUGUAUAUAUGCAGUCAAUGUACCAAUAGUACAUUAACAUACGUGCAUAUAUGCAGUCAGUGUACCAAUAAUACAUUAAUAUAUGUGUAUAUAUGCAGUCAGUGUACCAAAAGUUUUUAGUGUAGAUUCCUAGAGCCUGACCCAAGAUACUUUGGCAUACUUUUUAUUUUUUAUUUUAUAAUCCUGGGGCACUGAGCCCAGGAUUUUGUGUUUAAGAAAUGGGCACUUUUUGGACUGGAGAGAUGACUCAGUGGUUAAGAGCACUGACUGCUCUUCCAGAGGUCCUCAGUUCAAUUCCCAGCAACCACAUGGUGGCUCACAACCAUCUGUAAUGGGAUUUGAUGCCCUCUUCUGGUGUUUGAAGACAGGUACAGUAUACUUAUGUAUAAUAAAUACAUCUUUAAAAAAAAGAGAGAGAGAUUCAUUUAAAAAAAGAGAAAUAGGUACUUUAUCAAUAAGACAUACCUCUACCUAUGCUAUUUUGGGAAUGUGUGUAUUAUUAUAUGUAGUAAAAUACAUGGGUAAAACAUUUUUCGUUCUUCAGAGAUUGGCGUUUAAUGUCUAAAUAUAUAAUUCUGGCUUUUUAUCUAAAUGAGAAUAAACAAAUGUCUUUUAAUCUUUAUAUUGAAUGUGGCUUUCCUGAAUUUUCUUUAAGUUCAGCAUCUAACAUGCAUAUACCCAACUUUCUGGCAUAUACCCAACUUUCCAGUCAUGUAUAAUUAGUGUCACUUUCUUUUAUGUGAGAUUUUAUCAAAUGCCUCAUUUUAUGAUUAAACAAUCCAUGUCACUAUAUUUAGAAACAGCAUAAGGAAGCAGUGUGCCAUUUUCAAAUGUGAAUGUAAAAGGCUUUCUACCCAGAACUAUAAAGGUCUUUUCUUAGGUAUAUAAAAAAAAAAAAACCUAUGUUUGUCCCAAUUUCUAGUAUGAUAAAGUCUCUAAAAAUAAGUAACAACUACCCAAAACUCGCAAACAUGAGCAAAGCUCAUGUUCUGUUGCUUUAAAUAUCUGUGGACUUUGAGGGUUCUUCCCACCAGAAAGAAAUUGUGGAACUCAGUCAAUAUGAGUAUUAGAAAAACUGAAUGCCCUGUACAAUUUGGGAAUUCUUCACUAGAAGCCUGGAUUUGAAGCUAUAAUGUAAGUGUACAAUUCAAAAUUAACUUAGAUUGUAAAUAUUUUCAGCUGUAGAUUAUCUUGUCUGAAAAAUAUUUCCUGGAUGGACAUGAUGGCAUACCUUGGAAUCCUAGCACUUAUAGGCAAAGGCAGGAGGAUCAAGAGUUCAAGACUUUACUUAGCUACAUAACAAGUUUGUCAAAUGGCCUACCUCAGGGGCAAAAGACACUGCCUUAAAACAGUAAAAAUAGGGGGAAGGGCAAUUUGUGUUUUGACCAUGAAGUUUAAAAACAUUUCGUGGUUAAAAGUAUUUUCAAAGAACUAUUCAUUUGAAAUGUCCUCAGCCCCACUGCACAACUUCUCUGAUAAUGGUAGAAUUCCUGGCACCAUUUUUACUUGUAUAAGAGUGGACAGGCAAGUUGGUGAUCAGAGUAACAUUUAUACCUUACUGAACUGGAUUAAAAGUUGUGGGGUUGGGGAUUUAGCUCAGCGGUAGAGCGCUUGCCUAGCGAGCGCAAGGCCCUGGGUUCGGUCCCCAGCUCUGAAAAAAAGAAAAAAAAAAAGUUGUUAGUAUGGCUAGGUAUGUGUGCGAUCCUAGCACAUGGGAGAGAGAGGCAAGAUUGUGAGUUUGAGACUAACCUGGGACCACAUGCAGUACCUGUUCCAAAAAAAAGGAGCAAAUCAAACUCAGCCAUCGGUAUGGAGACAAACCCCAGGUUUCCCAAGAGGAAGAUAUGGGGUGCUCUCAUUCUCCUCCUUCCCUUCCUGUGUGCUGUAGACUGCAGAAGCCUUUGCCUGUCUGCCUUUUAGUCAGUGCUACAUUUCAGCAAGGAAACAUCUCUCUGUGGGGCUUACACAUGAACUUAGUGGACUGAAGCCUACAGAGAUACGAAAUAAAAGUGGUAAUAUACCCAAACUUUGUUUUGUAUAAAAUUAUAUUGUAAUUCUUGUGGUUUACAAGUAAUUCACAUGAUUUGUUUUAAAUGCAGAAAUUGAUAAUCUGUGUUUCAUCCUUAAAAGCACAAGAUAAAUUAACACUUUGUUAAAUAUACAUUAACACUUUGUAAAAUGAAAUCAUUAGUGCAGACAGUGGCGCAGAUCUUCCUGGUUGCUGCCACCGCGCAGAGCUCGUAGGCAGCACCCCACGAGCAAACUUGAGCCUCGGGACCACAGGUAAGACCAACUUUUCUGCUGCAAGAGACCUGCCUGGUGAACUCAGGACACACGGAGGCAAAAUUCCUCUAGGACCGGGCACCUCCUGUGUUUACCGGGAGUCCCAAACCCGCGGAUCCCGGCCCGCAGCAGCUCUCUGCUCCCAAACCCCGUGGAAGAGAGACCUCACUGCCUGGUCAGGUGGGCACUCCUAAAGCUGCAGAGCGGAAGAGACCACCAACACUGCCCACCCCUGCCCACAUCCCUGGCCCAAGAGGAAACUGUAUAAGGCCUCUGGGUUCCCGGGGGGAGGGCCCAGGAGCGGCAGGACCCCUGCGCCUGAGACACCGCCGGAACCUGAAGGGACAGACCGGAUAAACAGUUCUCUGCACCCAAAUCCCGUGGGAGGGAGAGCUAAACCUACAGAGAGGCAGACACGCCUAGGAAACCAGAAGACACUGCACUCUGCACACAUCUCUGACGCCAGAGGAAAACACCAAACGCCAUCUGGAACCCUGGUGCAUGAAGGCUCCCGGAAACGGCGGCGCACAUCUUCCUGGUUGCUGCCACCACAGAGAGCCCGAGGGAAGCACCCCGCGAGCAAACUUGAGCCUCGGGACCACAGGUAAGACCAACUUUUCUGCUGCAAGUGACCUGCCUGGUGAACACCAGACACAGGCCCACAGGAACAGCUGAAGGCCUGUAGAUAGGAAAAACUACACGCCCGAAAGCAGAACACUCUGUCCCCAUAACGGGCUGAAAGAAAACAGGAAAACAGGUCUACAGCACUCCUGACACACAGGCUUAUAGGACAGUCUAGCCACUGUCAGAAAUAGCAGAACAAAGUAACACUAGAGAUAAUCUGAUGGCGAGAGGCAAGCGCAGGAACCCAAGCAACAGAAACCAACACGACAUGGCAUCAUCGGAGCCCAAUUCUCCCACCAAAGCAAACACGGAAUAUCCAAACACACCAGAAAAGCAAGAUCUAGUUUCAAAAUCAUAUUUGAUCAGGAUGCUGGAGGACUUCAAGAAAGACGUGAAGAACUCCCUUAGAGAACAAGUAGAAGCCUACAGAGAGGAAUCACAAAAAUCCCUGAAAGAAUUCCAGGAAAUCAUAAAUAAACAAGUAGAAGCCCAUAAAGAGGAGUCAAAAAAAUCCCUGAAAGAAUUCCAGGAAAACACAAACAGUUGAAGGAAUUAAAAAUGGAAAUAGAAGCAAUCAAGAAAGAACACAUGAAACAACCCUGGAUAUAGAAAACCAAAAGAAGAGACAAGGAGCUGUAGAUACAAGCUUCACCAACAGAAUACAAGAGAUGGAAGAGAGAAUCUCAGGAGCAGAAGAUUCCAUAGAAAUCAUUGACUCAACUGUCAAAGAUAAUGUAAAGCGGAAAAAGCUACUGGUCCAAAACAUACAGGAAAUCCAGGACUCAAUGAGAAGAUCAAACCUAAGGAUAAUAGGUAUAGAAGAGAGUGAAGACUCCCAGCUCAAAGGACCAGUAAAUAUCUUCAACAAAAUCAUAGAAGAAAACUUCCCUAACCGAAAGAAAGAGAUACCUAUAGGCAUACAAGAAGCCUACAGAACUCCAAAUAGAUUGGACCAGAAAAGAAACACCUCCCGUCACAUAAUUGUCAAAACACCAAACGCACAAAAUAAAGAAAGAAUAUUAAAAGCAGUAAGGGAAAAAGGUCAGGUAACAUAUAAAGGCAGACCUAUCAGAAUUACACCAGACUUUUCGCCAGAAACUAUGAAAGCCAGAAGAUCCUGGACAGAUGUCAUACAGACCCUAAGAGAACACAAAUGCCAGCCCAGGUUACUGUAUCCUGCAAAACUCUCAAUUAACAUAGAUGGAGAAACCAAGAUAUUCCAUGACAAAACCAAAUUUACACAAUAUCUUUCUACAAAUCCAGCACUACAAAGGAUAAUAAAUGGUAAACCCCAACAUAAGGAGGCAAGCUAUACCCUAGAAGAAGCAAGAAACUAAUCGUCUUGGCAACAAAACAAAGAGAAGAAAAGCACACAAACACAACCUCACACCCAAAUAUGAAUAUAACAGGAAGCAAUAAUCACUAUUCCUUAAUAUCUCUCAACAUCAAUGGCCUCAACUCCCCAAUAAAAAGACAUAGAUUAACAAAUUGGAUACGCAACGAGGACCCUGCAUUCUGCUGCCUACAGGAAACACACCUCAGAGACAAAGACAGACACUACCUCAGAGUGAAAGGCUGGAAAACAACUUUCCAAGCAAAUGGUCAGAAGAAGCAAGCUGGAGUAGCCAUUCUAAUAUCAAAUAAAAUCAAUUUUCAACUAAAAUUCAUCAAAGAUAAGGAAGGACACUUCAUAAUCAUCAAAGGAAAAAUCCACCAAGAUGAACUCUCAAUCCUAAAUAUCUAUGCCCCAAAUACAAGGGCACCUACAUACGUAAAAGAAACCUUACUAAAGCUCAAAACACACAUUGCACCUCACACAAUAAUAGUAGGAGACUUCAACACCCCACUCUCAUCAAUGGACAGAUCAUUGAAACAGAAAUUAAACAGAGACGUAGACAGACUAAGAGAAGUCAUGAUCCAAAUGGACUUAACAUAUUUAUAGAACAUUCUACCCUAAAGCAAAAGGAUAUACUCAGCUCCUCAUGGUACUUUCUCCAAAAUUGACCAUAUAAUUAGUCAAAAAACGGGCCUCAACAGGUACAGAAAGAAAUAAUCCCAUGCGUGCUAUCGGACCACCACGGCCUAACACUGGUCUUCAAUAACAAUAAGGGAAGAAUGCCCACAUAUACUUGGAAAUUGAACAAUGCUCUACUCAAUGAUAACCUGGUCAAGGAAGAAAUAAAGAAAGAAAUUAAAGACUUUUUAGAAUUUAAUGAAAAUGAAGGUACAACAUACCCAAACUUAUGGGACACAAUGAAAGCUGUGCUAAGAGGAAAACUUAUAGCGCUGAGUGCCUGCAGAAAGAAACAGGAAAGAGCAUAUGUCAGCAGCUUGACAGCACACUUAAAAUCUCUAGAACAAAAAGAAGCAAACACACCCAGGAGGAGUAGAAGGCAGGAAAUAAUCAAACUCAGAGCUGAAAUCAACCAAGUAGAAACAAAAAGGACCAUAGAAAGAAUCAACAGAACCAAAAGUUGGUUCUUUGAGAAAAUCAACAAGAUAGAUAAACCCUUAGCCAGACUAACGAGAGGACACAGAGAGUGUAUCCAAAUUAACAAAAUCAGAAAUGAAAAGGGAGACAUAACUACAGACUCAGAGGAAAUUCAAAAAAUCAUCAGAUCUUACUACAAAAGCCUAUAUUCAACAAAACUUGAAAAUCUGCAGGAAAUGGACAAUUUCAUAGACAGAUACCAGGUACUGAAGUUAAAUCAGGAACAGAUAAACCAGCUAAACAACCCCAUAACUCCUAAGGAAAUAGAAGCAGUCAUUAAAGGUCUCCCAACCAAAAAGAGCCCAGGUCCAGACGGGUUUAGUGCAGAAUUCUAUCAGACCUUCAUAGAAGACCUCGUACCAAUAUUAUCCAAACUAUUCCACAAAAUUGAAACAGAUGGAGCACUACCAAAUUCCUUCUAUGAAGCCACAAUUACACUUAUACCUAAACCACACAAAGACCCAGCAAAGAAAGAGAACUUCAGACCAAUUUCCCUUUUGAAUAUCAACGCAAAAUUACUCAAUAAAAUUCUGGCAAACCAAAUCCAAGAACACAUCAAAACAAUCAUCCACCAUGAUCAAGUAGGCUUCAUCCCAGGCAUGCAGGGAUGGUUUAAUAUAUGGAAAACCAUCAACGUGAUCCAUGAUAUAAACAAACUGAAAGAACAAAACCACAUGAUCAUUAGAUGCUGAGAAAGCAUUUGACAAAAUUCAACACCCCUUCAUGAUAAAAGUCCUGGAAAGAAUAGGAAUUCAAGGCCCAUACCUAAACAUAGUAAAAGCCAUAUGCAGCAAACCAGUUGCUAACAUUAAACUAAAUGGAGAGAAACUUGAAGCAAUCCCACUAAAAUCAGGGACUAGACAAGGCUGCCACUCUCUCCCUACUUAUUCAAUAUAGUUCUUGAAGUUCUAGCCAGAGCAAUCAGACAACAAAAGGAGGUCAAGGGGAUACAGAUCGGAAAAGAAGAAGUCAAAAUAUCACUAUUUGCAGAUGAUAUGAUAGUAUAUUUAAGUGAUCCCAAAAGUUCCACCAGAGAACUACUAAAGCUGAUAACCAACUUCAGCAAAGUGGCUGGGUAUAAAAUUAAGUCCAAAUAAAUCAGUAGACUUCCUCUACACAAAAGAGAAACAAGCCGAGAAAGAAAUUAGGGAAACGACACCCUUCAUAAUAGACCCAAAUAAUAUAAAGUACCUCGGUGUGACUUUUACCAAGCAAGUAAAAGAUUUGUACAAUAAGAACUUCAAGACUCUGAAGAAAGAAAUUGAAGAAGUCCUCAGAAGAUGGAAAGAUCUCCCAUGCUCAUGGAUUGGCAGGAUUAAUAUAGUAAAAAUGGCCAUUUUACCAAAAGCGAUCUACAGAUUCAAUGCAAUCCUCAUCAAAAUACCAAUCCAAUUCUUCAAAGAGUAAGACAGAACAAUUUGCAAUUUCAUCUGGAAUAACAAAAAACCCAGGAUAGCUAAAACUAUUCUCAACAAUAAAAGGACUUCAGGGGGAAUCACUAUCCCUGAACUCAAGCAUUAUUACAGAGCAAUAGUGAUUAAAACUGCAUGGUAUUGGUACAGAGACAGACAGAUAGACCAAUGGAAUAGAAUUGAAGACCCAGAAAUGAACUCACACACCUAUGGGCACUUGAUUUUUGACAAAGGAGCCAAAACCAGCAAAUGGAAGAAAAAUAGCAUUUUCAGCAAAUGGUGCUGGUUCAACUGGAGGUCAACAUGUAGAAGAAUGCAGAUCGAUCCAUGCUUAUCACCCUGUACAAAGCUUAAGUCCAAGUGGAUCAAGGACCUCCACAUCAAACCAGACACACUCAAACUAAUAGAAGAAAAACUAGGGAAGCAUCUGGAACACAUGAGCACUGGAAAAAAUUUCCUGAACAAAACACCAAUGGCUUAUGCUCUAAGAUCAAGAAUCGACAAAUGGGAUCUCAUAAAACUGCAAAGCUUCUGUAAGGCAAAGGACACUGUGGUUAGGACAAAACGGCAACCAACAGAUUGGGAAAAGAUCUUUACCAAUCCUACAACAGAUAGAGGCCUUAUAUCCAAAAUAUACAAAGAACUCAAGAAGUUAGACCGCAGGGAGACAAAUAACCCUAUUAAAAAAUGGGGUUCAGAGCUAAACAAAGAAUUCACAGCUGAGGAAUGCCGAAUGGCUAAGAAACACCUAAAGAAAUGUUCAACAUCUUUAGUCAUAAGGGAAAUGCAAAUCAAAACAACCCUGAGAUUUCACCUCACACCAGUGAGAAUGGCUAAGAUCAAAUACUAAGGUGACAACAGAUGCUGGCGAGGAUGCGGAGAAAGAGGAACACUCCUCCAUUGUUGGUGGGAUUGCAGACUGGUACAACCAUUCUGGAAAUCAGUCUGGAGGUUCCUCAGAAAAUUGGACAUUGAACUGCCUAAGGAUCCAGCUAUACCUCUCUUGGGCAUAUACCCAAAAGAUGCCCCAACAUAUAAAAAAGACACAUGCUCCACUAUGUUCAUCGCAGCCUUAUUUAUAAUAGCCAGAAGCUGGAAAGAACCCAGAUGCCCUUCAACAGAGGAAUGGAUACAGAAAAUGUGGUACAUCUACACAAUGGAAUAUUAAUCAGCUAUCAAAAACAAUGACUUUAUGAAAUUUGUAGGCAAAUGGUCGGAACUGGAAAAUAUCAUCCUGAGUGAGCUAACCCAAUCACAGAAAGACACACAUGGCAUGCACUCAUUGAUAAGUGGCUAGUAGACCAAAUGCUUGAAUUACCCUAGAUGCCUAGAACAAAUGAAACUCAAGACAGAUGAUCAAAAUGUGAAUGCUUCACUCCUUCUUUAAAAGGGGAAUAAGAAUACCCUUGUCAGGGAAUAGAGAGGCAAAGAUUAAAACAGACACAGAAGGAACAUCCAUUCAGAGCCUGCCCUACAUCUGGCCCAUGCAUAUAUAGUCAUCCAAUUAGACAAGAUGGAUGAAGCAAAGAAGUGCAGGCCGACAGGAGCCGGAUGUAGAUCUCUCCCGAGAGACACAGCCAGAAUACAGCAAAUACAGAGGCGAAUGCCAGCAGCAAACCACUGAACUGAGAACGGGACCCCCGUUGAAGGAAUCAGAGAAAGGACUGGAAGAGCUUGAAGGGGCUCGAGACCCCAUAUGUACAGCAAUGCCAACCAACCAGAGUUUCCAGGGACUAAGACACUACCGAAAGACUAUACAUAGACUGACCCUGGACUCUGACCUCAUAGGUAGCAAUGAAUAUCCUAGUAAGAGCACCAGUGGAAGGGGAAGCCCUGGGUCCUGCUAAGACUGAACCCCCAGUGAACUAGACUGUUGGGGGGAGGACGUCAACGGGGGGGGGAGGAUGGGGAGGGGAACGCCCAUAAAGAAGGGAAGGGGGGGUUGGGGAUUUGGCUCAGUGGUAGAGCGCUUGCCUAGGAAGCGCAAGGCCCUGGGUUUGGUUCACAGCUCCGGAAAAAAAAAAAACAAACAAAAAAAAACCAAAAACAAAAAACAAGAAGGGGAGGGGGGAGGGGGAUAUUUGCCCGGAAACCGGGAAAGGGAAUAACACUCGAAAUGUAUAUAAGAAAUACUCAAGUUAAUUAAAAAAAAAAAAGAAAUCAUUAGUGCAAACAUAUCUUUUAUUCUUAUGUAUGUGAUUGUCCUCUUGGAGGCUUUCUGCCUCAGUCUACUAACCUAGGCCUAGACCUGGAAGCCUUUAGCCUCCAUACAAUCUUAACUAGACCUAGAAUGUUUUCAACUUCUGAAACUUGUUGCUGAAUAAACUCAACCUUUCUAGAUCUUUCUGAACUCAGGCUAGCAGGUUUAACUCAGGUGUUAUGGCUAAUAAUUCCUCCCCAAGCUGGCUUCUCUCUCAGCCUCUGAAUCUUGCUCUUCUUGGACCCAAACUAACACUUUUCUAAGCUUCUCUCUCCUUCUUAUUCUCUGGCCUUUUCUGUAUUUAGGAAAUGUUCAUGAACCCCAAAAAUAUCACCAACGAGCAGACUUCGAUGUAAUUGUAAUUGGGUCUCUUUAUUGAAGCUGGAGCUUGGACUCCCCGCCAACCCUGAUAUAGCCAAAAGGUGGAGCCUUAAGCCCAGUUUUAGGCAAGUAUCUAUAGAGGCAAGAAAGGGUUAUCUAGCUUAGUACACAUCUGAGUGGAGGGUCAUUGUGACCUUUAACAUAAUUUGCUGGUGCUGGGAGCCAUAAACUUAACUUCUGUUUUCCUCCUGGUUGAUAGUUGUUAGGAAGUGAAGUGUUAGGGGUAGGCUUGAAACCUGGAGGUGUGGAUUUGUUGGGGAAUAACCUGGAAAUUGGUGUUAGACAUAGGUCUUGUAGGGGAUAGGUGGAGGUAGCCUGGAAACUGGUGCUAAGUACUGGCCUGUUAGUUAACUUGAGUUCAACCUUAAGUCAGGUUCUCCAAGGUAGAAUCUGAAUCCAAAGAUCUAAUCUUUGACUGUCUCUAUACAACUGGCCUAAUAAACCUGCCCCUGAAGUAGCUUCCUUUUUUUCUGCACUGCCCCUUAAGUAGAUUCCCAACAGAUAUGUUGGACUUGUUCUGCCAAAUCUUUCUCUGAUUCAUCACUUUGUCUGCCACUCAAUUAGACAUCACUUUCAAACUUGGGUGUUUCUUUCUACCAACUAACUUUACCUUCAUUGUUUGGGAUUAAAGGUGUGUGCUAGGGACUUAGCCACACCACUACUAGAAAUUGGAUUUUCCAGUAAGUAACACAAUCUCAGGCUUCACAGUGUGAUCAGACACCUAUGACAAUUCGUGUCUGAACUGUUUGUUUAUUCUUUAAAGUUUUUCAUUGCGAGUCAGUCACUUUCAUCUGUUUCUGCAAGUUUAUAAGUUUUUUUUUGUUACUUGAUUCUUAUUUCUUGCAGUCUUUUUCUUUGUCUCUAUUAGGUCUGCCAUGUUCGUAUUGAAAUAGUGUUCAUAUUUGAGAGACCACCCCCUACUUUUUUCUAAAAUUUCCUCUAGGCUCUUAAGCUGCUCAUCUACUUGACAUAUAUCUAUUUAGAGAAACCUAGGUCUCAGUCCAGAUUCAUUACUUUCUAAGUUAGCACACAUGAUUCAAUUUCUUCCCAGUAGAGACUUUAGAAUUAGUGUUAAUAGAGUGAACGUGAAAGCAUUAAGAAAUGUCACGGCCUGAGGAAGAAUAUCUGUUCCUUUUCAGACUAUGACCAGAGCUGAUAAGAGCUCCCGUAUUGCAAGGACAGUCUGUGAAGUCUGUUCUUAUGCCCUCCCCGACUUGUUCUGUCUUCCUUAUGAGGCAAGAGUGUCAAGAGUGAGCCUAGGAGUCCUCUACCCUCACCGGUACUUCCUGCGGUUGUAUGAACAGCACUGCUUGCAAGGUUGCCUCUCACGUGCACGGCUAAAAAGAACGUGUCCUGAAUAUUUUUCUGCUUCGCAAGUCAAAAAAUAUACAUGCUCACAGCAGUCUGUUUUCUAAAUGACAUUGACAUGAUCUGUAUAACAGUGUGUCAGAAUUAGUAAUAGUUCUCAUUGUCACUAACCUAAAAUUCUGUAGGACAACACAUACUAAUGCACAAAUAGAAAUUACACUUACCUGAGCAUUUGUUACAUAAACUGCUGUAGGAAAUGUUUGCAUGCCAUUUCACAUUAACCAAACGACUGUCACUCACUCCCAGAGGAUGCAUUUACACACACACGCACACGCAUACACACACACACACACACUCUUCAUCAGUAUAAAAAUAUCACACACUAAAAUAAGACCUGGUCUCUAUAUCAAAAUGACCUUUCUACACAGACUGUUGCACUUCUUAAAACCUCCAGUCGAGUAUGUGAGUGUAAGAGAAGAUUUGCUUGCUCUUGUUUUUAAUCCUGGAACAGGGGCUAUGAGUAUAUUACAGUGUCUUUCAUCCUUUUAUGAGUAAAUAUGGUUAUAAUAAGAACUGAUUACCAGAUUAAGAAUGACCCUUGAUAAUAUCAGGGUGUUGAGAUUUCCCAAAAAUGAAUGAUUUUUGUUAAAUUCUUUUUUUUAAGUUUUUAAAAUUGUGAAGUUAAAAUACGCUUACAUAAUUAUCCCCUUUCUUCCUUUCAAGCUCUCCUAUAUCCCUCUCUUCCUUGCUUUCUGUCAAACUCAUAUCUCUAUUUUCUUUGCUAUUAUAUAGCAAAUGCAUAAAUCCAUAGAGACAACCUGCUCCGUCCAUCUAGUGUUUCUUGUAUAUAUGUGAUUUAAAGCUGACCACUCUGUGCUGAUAACCCCUAGGGAGUUGAUUCCUGGAGAUGGCACUUUGUCCCCCUCUCAGCAUUCUGUUUGGGCCUUUGUUUGGGGCUGGGGCACUUUGAGAUUUCUCUCUGUUAGCAGGUCUAUUGUCAUCCUAGUUGAAGUCUGUAAAGUCUGGGCUGCGGACGAGGGAUAUAGUUCCCUUGGGAAACACCUGGGCCUGCACACAAGAAGCUCCCAGGUUAAUCCAAGACCCCAGGGGUGCAGAUCAUGCCUGGGAUCCCAGCUCUAAGGAAGGUGCAGGCAAGGAGAGACAUUCAAGGCCAUCCUCGGCUGUCAGCUACAAGAACAGCCUGGGCUACAUGAGACCUAUUCCAAUUUAAAAAAAAAAAAAAAGCAGGAAUGAAUGAGGCCUGUGCCCUAUUAUUUUAUCUUGGCCUCUGGUUUUUAGUGUUAUGUUUCUGGCAAUCUCAGCUUUCCUGGAAGUUAUAUACAUUGUUCAAACUUUGCUGCACUCAUUCUCUUUCUCCAAGUCUUCCUCUCCAUUGCCAAAGCCAGUCUAAACACACACUCAUGUGCUCCUGCAGCUUGUUACUGAGUCACUUCAGAACAGGCUGCAUCGAGUGUGUUCAUCUCCUCAGGGUGUGUUUCCUAAGAAAUGUUCAUACAGAACUGCAAAAACACAUUUAAUACAAGAGCAUUUGAUAGCGAUGUGCUUGCCGCAAUGCUUUUUUCAUCUUUUUAUCCAUUAUCCCGAUAAUGUUCUCAUAGUACCAUUAAAAUUUUAAUCACACAUAGGUCAGAAGAUAACCUCUAGAAUUGUUCUUUUCUUCCUCCAUGUAGGUUCCAGGCAUGAUGAUUCUUCUCGAUCUUGAUUCUUUACCUUCCCCACUUCACUUUCAUGGCAUUUGAUUCGUUUUCAUUUAAUGUUACAGGCAUUUCCUUUAAUGUAUAGGUAUCAUUUAAUGCUAUAGGUAUUUUAUUUAAAUACAGGUAUCUUUUAAUGUUAUAAGUAUUUCAUUUAAAAUAUAGGUAUCAUUUAAUGUUAUAGGUACUCUAAAGGAAUUAUAUAUAUUCUAUUGGACUCUUCUACUCACCUUUAAUGCUAUAAGGUAUAAUCAAGAAUAAUUAAGACUCAGUGGUACCUUGUGUCUCAUAACUGAUUUAGCUGCACAAAAACACUUGUAUCUGGAUGCUUAUCUGGAACUUUGUGCAGGCACGUGAAGAACACAACUGGUAAUUCACAAGUGCUAUUUCCCAUGCUUACCUUCCAUAUCAUUGAUUAAAACAACAAAUCUUUAUUGAUACCUAAUACUGUGCUUUCUCUCAAAUAGGUGCUAUGCUACAGUAUUGUAUAGGUGGGUACAUUAGCAAAGUCACCAUUGCUAAGAGCUGGCUUAAGGAUAUAAAGAACCAAUGAUACAGUCGCCUGACUAUAAUUGCUAAGUUUGGUAAUUGCCUCUAGUUAAAUUGUGUAAUAUGGUGGAGGCAAGGGGAUUCCAUGACUGGGUAGCAAAAGAAAGGCCUCUCUGGCACGUGAGCAUAACAACCAUGCCAUGUAAAUUCUCAUUUUUAAAUAUAUCUAAUUGUGUCCCACCUCUUAAUCCCAGAUUGCACCGUUAGUUCAGCAUCUGUUUUCCGUUUGCUGAAUGGAUUAUCUCUUUGAACCAUGUCUGCUUUUAGUUCAGGCCUUUCUAGUCUCAUCGCUCUACACAUAGAACUAAGACUAACUGUGCUGUUCAACAACUGACAUCCACACUUAGCUUUUGCAGCCAUCCAAGGACUGAUCUUCCAGUCUUUUAUUUCUUUUGACUCCCCCAUAUCUUCCAUAAUAGCAUAUGCUGUGCCGUCACAGUCUUGCUAUUCUGCCUGAUAAGUGUUCCCAAGGAAGACCUUUUUCCCUUAUGCACAUGGCUUGCUAUUUAUCUACUAGGUAAAUAGAUGUCCUUUCUUUUAUUAAGACUGAACCCAAGGAUAAUCUAUCAUAUCUUGAUAUUCAUUCAGAAAUAUUUAGGAGUCCUAGAGAUGUUUGCUUUGUUUUCCAGACAGGGUUUCUCUGUGUAGCCCCUAACAGUCCCAAAACUCUCACCCUGUAGAGCAAGCUGACCUGGAACUUAGAGAUCUGCCUGUCUCUGCCUCCCAAGUGCUGGAUUGAAGGCUUGCACAAACACUGCUUGGCUCCUGGAGUCCUUUUAGGUUUAGGUUUUUUUGUGUUUAAGAAGACAUUCCUUUGUCUAUAAUCCGUGGAGCUGAGUGAAUGAAGACUUCUGUAGGAAGGGUGAGAAUCUAUUCCUUUCAGUGUUCUCCAAAUUCUCCUUUUGUGCUGCUUCCUCACAUAUGCAGCUUAGAAACACUGUACCUUACAAGUUUUGAGAAGAUUUUGAUUAUCCUCCUCAAACAUUUGUAUCAGGACAAGUGCCAGUCCUAGUCUUCAAAAUUUGAAGAAAUCAAUUCUGAAGAUCUUUUAAAAAGAUUUUAUUCUUUUUAAUCAUGUGUAUGUGUAUGGAUAUGUACGUGUCAUUGCCCAUGGAAGCUAGAGAUGUUGGGUCCUUUGGAGUUGGAGUCACGGGUGAUUGUGAGCUGCUAGGAUUCACACUUAGUAGUAUUCACACUCAGGUCUUCUCCAAGAGCAUUGCAGGCCCCAGCCACUGAGCCAUCUGUCCAACCUCCACCAUUCAUUAAGUUCUGACUAACUGACUUUACUUCCUUUUGAAGUAUUAGACAGGAUGUCCUGGGGAGUAUGCUUCAAUCCGAACACUGUGUCAAGAUGUAAAGCCAGGUGGCACACCUGCGUCCUAACAGUCAAGUGUAGGUGAGGCCUGGGAUUCAAAGCCAACCUAAUGAAAUCCUGCCUUCAAAAAGUAAGCAACUGAGAAGAAAACAAAUACCUCUGUUUGACACUUGGAAGAUAACAUUUUAGAUUAGAGCAGUAAAUGUAAAUUUCCAAAGAAGCUUGAUUAGUAAGUAGAUAAAUUUAAACUGAUACUAGUAGUUCAGCCUAUUCAGUCUUCUUGUUUGAUUUCCAGCCAGUCUGAAGUUUAAGUCACGUGUGCUGCAUCUAGUUUUCACUGUGCACAGUGCAUAGUAAGGAUGGUUCUUUUGUCUCCUUCUACACAUUAACAAACUUGCUGUCAAUGAACUAAGUACCAUAAAUCUUUCCAUAGUCAGUCUUAAGAUUCACUCUUACCAUUCUGGGUAAAACCCAGGGGAAUAACUGUGAGUGUGUGGUAUAUUCUUAUAUGAGCACAUAUGUGUGCAAUUUGCUAUAUGCGUGUGCUCAUGCAGAAACCAGAAGUAAUCUUCUGUUAUCUUUAGCACCUAAGUUUUUGAGACAGGUCUCGCAGCAUCUGAACUUUACCAUUUCAUCUACACUGGCUGGCGACCAAACCCCCAGGCCCGCCUGUCCGCCCACUGAGUGUGAGAGUUCUAGGUGCACCAUCACCCUUGGCUUUUACCUGGUGCUGGGGAUCUAAUCUCGGGCUCUUAACACUUUCACGGUGAUCUGGUUAGCCACGAAGCUAUCAACUUUCCCAGCCUCCUAGAACCUCCUAGGACUCCUAGAAAUUUGAUAAGACAUUUUGUGGCAUUUUUUUUAAUCUAUGCUAUAUGGGCCAGAAUAACAAAAUGAUAAAUUACCUACAUCAGAAACUAAGGAAAGCUUCAGGAUGAUGUCAUAAAUUUUAAAAUUGUCAUCAGCCCUGUUAUCACCAGUAUCAGGAUGAAGAGGGGAAGUUCUGCAGUUUAUUCCAGGCUGCCCUGAAACCCGAGCCACUUCUCCUUACCUCCAAAAUGCUGGGACAACAGAUGAGUGCCUCCAUACCCUAUAGAUGAAACCCUGUGUGUACACAAGUGGAGAGCAAGGAUUGCAGUCAGAUGACCUCCUCACCUGCUUCUCUACCUUAUUCUUGAGACAAGGUUGGUCUCUCACUGGAGCUCACUGAUUUGUUAGAUGAUCUGGCUUGUGAGUUCUAGGGAUCCUCCUGUUCCUAUCUCUCUAGCACUGGGAUUGUAGAAUAGCACUAUAACCAAUUUGACCUGUAAUUGAAAAGACAGCCAGGGGUGAGCUUGAACUCCUCCUGAGCUUUCUGCCUCCACUUCCUGAGUGCUCGAAUUCUAUGUGUAGUCCAUCAUGGUUAGCUCAUAAGAAAAAAAAAAAUUAAGGGGAAUUUUAGAUUUAUUUGUGUGUGUGUGUGUGUGUGUGUGUUUUAUGUGUGCACACACAAAUACAUACAUUGGCACAGUGCACAUGUGGAAAUGAGAGGAUAAUUGCGGGAAUUCAGUUUUCCUUUCACUAUAUGGGCUCCAAACAUCAAACCUAGGUCAUCAGAUAUGGUGGUAAUUAAUUCCCUUUAUCCACGUGGCCACCUCACCAGCCCUAAAAGAAGUUCUUAGUGUCCCCAUGAAUAAGGCUGAAGAAAUAGCUCUUCUAAGAACUUGCUGGUCUUCUAGGGUACCUGUGUUUGAUUCCUAGUAACUAUAUUAGACAGCCUACAGUUGCCUGUAACUCCAAAUGGCCGCACAUGCUCACACACACCCACACACACACACACACACACACACACACACGCUCACACACACACACGCUCACACACACACACACACACACACUAUACACACUAACACAAACAUAUACACAUAUCAAUAAAAAUUGUUUAAAUCGUUAAAAGGAGGUGGAGGAACCCACCAAUGCCUUGUAAACUAACAGUCAGGUGUGAGUUUCUGGUGUGAGUUUCUGGUGUGAGCUGCAGAGAAACUCUGGUUGUGUCUGUCUCAUUCCCUCUUGCUGUUUGGGGAUAAGUGCAUACCUGGCUGAGCUGAAACCACCUACAUUCAGAGAUCAGUGAAUGCCAAUAGAUAUAGCAGAGAAAGACAAGUCUAAAAGACAAGUUUGUUUGUUUAUUAUUAGUAUUUGGGAAUUGGAUAUAGAGACUCAAACAGUAAUCUUUUUUAAUGAAAAGAAAUAAUAUGGUUACUAAAAAAGCUAGAAAAGAUAAGAACUUUUUGAAAGAUUUAUUUUAGUAAUCAAAAAAUUAGAUAAUAUAGUCACAACUAAAAAAUGUUUAAGAAAGCACAAGAUUCAUGAAACCAAUAACAAGACAAUAGAAAAAGACAGGGGAGUGGGGAAAGCCCUGAUGAUGUUAAGAUUCAUAGCAUAGAAGGGUGAUGGUGCAAUUUUAAAAGAGAGAAAUAGUGGGGUUGGGAAGGGCAGGAGACCAAACUAGCAAUGGAAAGAUGUUAUAGACAUAAAAUGACAAACAAGAGGAGUGAGUGAGAAAACCAAGCAGAGGAAAGGCAGUAGACAUAGGAAUUAAACAGAAUCUAUCCAUGUUUAGAAAGCCCGAGUACAAAAGGGAAACAAACACAAUAAAAUGAAAGAGGGAAAAUCCAUUACCUGCUUCUGCAAUGAGAAGUCAAGGACUCUGGACAGUGAGAGAAGACAGGAAACAGUCAUUUUGUGUCACAAGCAUGAAUGUUAAGGGACCCGGGCUGUGUAAGCCCUUUACUAAGAAAACAAAUCUGGUGGAGCGGGUUUUCCUCCCUAGUACUCUUUAUUUAUUCUUAGCAGUGUUUAUUGACCAUCCAGUGUGAGCCAAGCACUGUUUCUAGGCACUAGGACUUUGGGUUUAACCAAAUGAAAGGGUCUUUGUCUUCAUAACAACGUUCCUCUGGUACAAAUCAAAAAAUAUACAAAUAAUCAGUAUGUAAACACAAAUAUUUAAAACAGACUGUAAUUCAGAAAAGCUUGUACUCUGAGUGUCAAGAAGGGAUCAGUUAGUGCGAACUUAGGAUGCCAAUUACCCUGAAAACCCUGCUUGAAAUGGUAAGUUCACCAAUCAGAGGAAGUAUAGGAGAGCUCAUAAAUCAAAGUCUGAAGGCAUGAAAGAACAGGCAGCGGACUGUUACUCUAAAAUGUAACCCUAACUGCCAUGGUUAUAUUGUUUAUAAAGGUUAAUCUUAGUUGAUAAGGCUAAUACAUAAUAUCAGCAUAUUGAUUUUAAUGUAAGUAGAGACAAUUAUGAAUCGUAACUAAACUUAGGGACUCAGUAGUAAAAGAAUAUAAUGUUUACAUAUAAUAUAUGUAAUAUUAUAUCCCAAAUAGUUACAAUAAUAGUUACUUUUUAAGUAUAUCAUAGUCUGGUGGUUAGUCUAAUCAGCUUGAUACAGUCUCAAAUCAUCCAAGAGACACUCAAUGAAGAACUGUCUAGGUCAGGUUUCCUGUGAGCACAUCUGUGGGAGAUUUUCAUGGUCAUGCUAAUUGUGUUGAGAAAAUAUCCCCUUCCCUAUGUGAGGGAUCCUGAACUGUCUAAGAGUGGAGAAAUUGACCUGAGGGCGAGAAUGCAUGUUAAUUUAUUGAUCUCUUGACUAUGACCUGCUCUGUUUCCAACAUGGGCUGGUUCAACCUUCUGCCACCCAACCUGGGUGCUCUUGACUCUGGGUGUGCUGUGACUAUGUGACUAGCUGCUUCAAGUCAUGCACCUGGACUGCUUUGCAGUGAUAGACUAUAACUUACUUAUUUAGCAUAUACCCAGAACAGAAUGGAGGAAUAGCAAGGCCAGAAUCUAUAAUAACUGACAGAUAAUAAAACAUCCAGCAAAAACUUUUUUUAACUCUAGAAAGAAUGAAUGUAACUUUUCUAACAAUUAUAAAUGUGACACACUUACUAGGAUCUGUGAGAAAGAAAUGGCAGCUUUUGUAAGAAAUUAUUCUUUCAUGUCCAUAACUGACAUGAGAUCACUAAUAACGACUUAGUUUAAGAGGCAAAAAUAAUGGAGAUUGUAAAGCUGUUCUUAAAUUGCUUAAUAAUAUUGUUUUAAAAUAAUUUGGGGGGAAUUAGAAUUUCUAAUAACAUAUACAGUAAAAAUGCUCAAGUAUGUGAGGCCUAAAAACAUUCUCAGUGGUAGAGCACUUGCCUACCAUGGAAGAAACUAGAGAUUAGAGCUGCAGCACUGCCAACAGGCAGGCAGGAAAGUGGUCCUUGCAUGUCUGAUAGCCAAGAGAGAGUUCAUCAUCCUAGCUUGGGUUGCAUAGACGGGUCAGGACAUCUUGGUUGUCCAGAGAAGAUGAUCACACUUGGAAAACAAGACUUGAAGCUAGGCAUGUGUACACAUCUGUCACUCGGCAAGUAGAGAACUGAGAUGAUAGGGUAGUGAGUUCAAGGCCAGUGUGGGCUGCUCUCAAAACAAACACAAAUUAUAAAGAUGGCUUAGAAAAAAGGAAAUUAUCUAGAUUAUAGCAAUACUGAACAGAUACUUUCACAAAUUGUUUUACAAUUCCUGCUCAAUUCAAAAUUGAUAAACCAAGGUAUGAUAACUCAGAAAACUGAAACAGUCUGGACCGGUGCUGUUAAUCAGAAUUGAUUUAUUGAAUGCGGGUUAACAGCACAUGUAACUUAGGUAUAGAUUUAGCUGUGUCUCACCAGUUAGCUUAAAAAUAUGCUGGUAGUGCAACUCAGAUCUCAGGUUCCUUCAUGUCAUCGUCCUCUUUUUAGAGUGGAGCCAUGUUUUGGCCUAAGUGCAGCCAAACACCUUAGUAAAGGUGUGUGUAUCACAGUGGAGAAGAAGUUAGAUCAGAAUGAAUGCAGGAGUGUUCAGAAGGAAGCCAGGUGCGCGCUUUUCUCAGGACCUCUUAGUAGCAUCGUGUUUAAAAGUUACAGACGAUUCAGUUUUGUAUACACAGUUUUAGGAUGUUCCUAAGAAAUCUAGAGUCGUGACCAUUCAUUAUGAAUGUGAACUAAAUCAGAGGACAAACAUGCACUUACACAGCUCGCCCUAUAAAUGCUACUGCUCCAUUGCUUUGAGGAAAUUUUCAUAGAUUUACAUUUGAUAAAUAUACCCACUCCCAAAAUAUUGUAUAAAAAAUUGAAAUGCCAGCUAACUAAAUCAACUCAUGAAAACUAAAGCCAAAAGUAAGAUAUUUUUCCACGAUUAUUUUAAAAUAUGUUAUUUACUGGAAGGAAAGUUGAGAGAAUUGCAGCGAUGAAGUGUGAGUGUUUUUCUCCCACUUGUAAAUGAUCUCUUAUUUCCUACAGUGUAUAUUCUGGUCUACAAUGACUCAUUUUCAACAUGUUUCAAUUUAACUCCUAAUACAUUUUUAAACUUGGCAGGCAUAUUUAGAUGAACAUUAUUUCCAAUUUUAGACACAGCUUCUAAAUUAUACUUAAGUUUUGCAGUCAUCAUGAAGAGUUCUUUCACUAAAAAGGAAGUAGGAUUGAUUGGAACUGUAUGUUUUGAAGAAGAAAAAAACACCAUCUUUCCGUUUCAUUAUAUACAAAUGCUAAGCAAUAUCUGCAGACACUGCGGUUGUCCCUCGAGUGGUAGUGUUGAGUGGAGGGAGGAGUCUAUAAGAAGUUAUGACUUACCUUGGAUAGGGCGUAUUGAACUCUUCACCACGCCUAGCACUGUGGAUAGCACUGUGGAAAUUUUCUACAGUUUUUAUCACUAUUUCCUCUGUAAUACAGCUUGAAGUCAGGGAUGGUGAUUCCCGCAGAAGUUCUUUUAUUAUUGAGAAUAGUUUUCACUAUCCUGGACUUUUUUGUUAUUCUAAAUGAAUUUGCAAAUUGCUCUUUCUAUCUCUAUAAAGAAUUGAGUAGGAAUGUUGAUAGGGAUUGCAUUGAAUCUGUAGAUUGCUUAUGGCAAAAUGGCCAUCUUUACUAUAUUAAUCCUGCCAAUCCAUGAGCAUGGGAGAUCUUUCCGUCUUCUGAGAUCUUCCUCAAUUUCUUUCGUCAGAGACUUGAAGUUCUUGUCAUACAGUUCUUUCACUUGCGUGGUUGGAGUCACACCAAGAUAUUUUAUGUUAUUUGGGACUAUAGUGAAGGGUGUCAUUUCCCUAAUUUCUUUCUCAGCCUGUUUAUCCUUUGAGUAGAGGAAGACUACUGAUUUGUCUGAGUUAAUUUUAUAUCCAGCCACUUUGCUGAAGUUGUUUAUCAGGUUAAGUAGUUCUCUGGUGGAACUUUUGGGAUCACUUAAGUACACUAUCAUAUCAUCUGCAAAUAGUGAUAUCUUGAUUUCUUCCCUUCCAGUUUGCAUCCCUUUGACCUCCUUUGUCUGAUUGUUCUGUCUAGGACUUCAAGAACUAUACUGAAUAAGUAGGGAGAGAGUGGGCAGCCUUAUCUAGUUCCUGAUUUUAGUGGGAUUGCUUCAAGUAGAAGGGGAAGCCCUUGAUUCUGCCAAGGUACAGAGAACUCCAACUUAGUACAGAAAGCAAAGUUUCCGAGUUUCUCCAUCAGAGCAAGCUGAAGUCCUUUGAAAGCGAGCGUGUUCAACUCCUGCAAGAGGAAACGGCAAGAAA